rnacentral:lncRNA from 1 species
AUGUUUGCUGCAGAAAAACUGUGCAGACGUCACUGCCUGAGCCCUGCCAAGACUAUGUCCAACACUGUCCAAGCACUGACCCCCCCCGGGUCCACAGGGGCCUUUGGCAGAGCUCUGCUGUUCUGUUUACUUGUAAGGCACAGGCAGGUCACCAGCCUGCUAUGCAGGGGCCUGGGCAAGAUGGGCUCAGAUGGCUGUGAACAGGCCUGGAAACCCGGUGCUGGCCUCGGAGACUUAGUCCUGUCUUGGUUGGAAUGGCACCCGAGAAGCUCUGGGCAGCCCAGGUCACUAGGUCGGGCCCCACGCCACCCAGGGGGCCAGGCACAGUGUCUUUAUCCUCCAAGAGAGCAGCUCCUCCCCCCGUCAAGGCCCAGAGGAGGCGGAUGCUGUCACCUUACACCAGGACUCCGCCGCUUAGCAACCAUUCCGGUUGACCAGCCAUGGGAGCUGGCUCUGCCAUGCACCAUGGCCUUGGGGAGCGGAGAGGACAGGGCACCUGCAAAAAAGCCCAGCGGCCCCUAGAUGACCAGGACUGUGACAGUGCCACUAUCGAGAGGGUCGGGGAACGAGGACACUGGGACUUUGAUUCUCCACUCAGCCCAGCAGAGGCCUGGAAUCCAGGUGUGCACAGAGGGCGGUGGGUGAGGAGGGCUGCAGGUGGGGGGCGACUUCACCACAGGUGUCAUGCACAAAGAGCCUCCCAUGGGAGCGGAUCGAUCACUCCACUUUGACAGGGGAAGCCGGGAACAUGGCGUAUUUCUGCCCAAAAGCGUUUUGUCCACCUUAGAAAACACAGGCUAUAGAUAGGGUUUUUUUUUUUUUCAUUUUUUAAAGUUAUACAGAGUUGUAGCACACUGUAUCAUUUGGAACCCAUUUUUUACUCCAGCCUUUUUCUAAUCCUGCCACGUAGCUUGCAGCACCUGGGUGAAUUUUUCCCGCGAUACGUAUUCAAAACUCCAUUGGCUUUUCUGGGCAAAUUUUUGAUUCUCAUAAAAAAUGUGGCAAAGAAGCGCACAGACAGAUCUUUCUCUCACAACUGACUGUUGCUGUCGGUUAAAUCCCUAGAAGUGGAAUUGGACCAGAGUGCGGCUGCUGUCAGUUUCUGACCUAUGUUGGCACGCUAUGCAGCCGCCUGAGCAGGCAGCGCGCCGGGCGAGUGCAGGACCCGUCCCAGGCCCCCUGCUCAGCGCCGCACUGAAGGAAGCGUGAGGCUCCUGCCCAGCAAGACGGGGAGGGCUGCUCUCACGCGCCUGGUGUGGCAACAGCUGCGUGUCAGACACACUUCCUGUUCCUGAGACACUGGAUUCCACCUCACCCCACAAAGAGUGACCGUCAGGAAGAAGUCAAGUAAUAACCAAUGCUGAUGAGGCAACGGAACCCCUCUCCACUGCUGGUAGAAAUGUAAACUAGUACAACCACUGUGGAAAGCAGUGUGUGGAAUCCCCCCAUUAAAACUAGAAAUCCCAUUUGACCCAGCUAUUCCCCUUCUGGGUAUCUUCUGAAAGAGUUUAAAAAAAAAUCACAUUACGGGGAUCCGUGCAUGCCCACGUUUAUAGCAGCACAGCUCACAACAGCUAUAUCUUGGAAGUGGCCUGUGUGUCCAUCAACAGAUAAAUGGAUAAAGAGUAUGUGGUGUUUACAGACCUCGGAGCACUACUCUGCUAUAAAGAAAGACAAACUCCUCAUUUUCAGGAAAAUGGGUACAGCUUCUACCCUGACGUUCAGCGAAAUAAGCCAGACACACAAGCGUAAAUAUCAUGUGGUUUCUCUUACAUGGGAAUCCCAAAGUGUAAAUACGUAGAUCUUUUGUAGAAAGGAAGAGGAUCUAGAGAUGGUGGAAGAGGGCGGAGAGCAGAAGGGGACAUAGAAGGACUGGAGCUGUCGUGCCCACAUACCAAGUCCCAUGACGAAUGUGGUUAUUCUGUACUUCAGACACAGACUGAUACAAUAAACAUUUAAAAAGAACAAACGUGGCCACCCGGGCAGCCCAGUGGGACCUUGGCAGUGUGGCCUUGGGCAGUGGGGCCAGUGGUGUGCUCUGAAGGGAGAGGCCUGCUGAGGGAUGCUGCCUCCCGGCUCUGGACAUGUUUCAGGCCUGUCCACUCAGGUCCAGCUGGGCUGAGGACACCCCUGUCCCCAGUGUCCUUGGGGAGGGAGGGAUAGGCUCAGGGUGUGCAGUCUGGAGCCAACCAGGAGGGUCACCAGCCACACUUCGGAGGAGCCCCUGCCCUUGCAUCUGAAAGGCUUCAUUUCCAAAUCAGGUCACACUUGGGGGCUAGGGCGGUGCUCCACAAGUCUUCUGAGGACAGGUACGGACAUUCAGGGUGGCACUUGGGAGUGGAGCCCUGGAGCCUGCUUCCUGGGCCCGGGGAACUCACAGACCACCCACUGGCAGCACCCAGGGGCGGCUUGGGGAGUAUGGGCAAGCAGCCAUCCCAUCAUGUGGGAGUGGACACCCGGGCUGUUGUGGCUCCCAGCUGUGGAUGUCAGUCCCUGGUGGCCAGGCUAUCAAGAGACCAACUUGUUCAAGAACCAGCUUCCUGGCUGAGCUCCCUGGCCCUCAGCACCCAGGAUUCCCGAGAAGCAUGGGGUUGGAGUUAGGGUUCUAGAGAGGAAGGGUUGGCCCAGCCAGGUUGCCCCUGGCUGCCGGGGCACAUUGCCGAGCUGGUGGGAGGAAGCAGGACCAGAUGCCCACAGUCUGCACUCAGACAACUGGGCUGAGGGAAGCCAGGGACAGAGGGACCCCAUCCUCGCCUCUUGUCCGGGAGUGAGGGGCACCACCAGGCAGAGGGGCUCCUUAGCCUCCACCCCCAGGGAGCCAGCAAGGUGACCUGGGCACAAGGCUCAAAUGGGGGCUAUGCCUGACGGAAGUCUGGCAGAGAGUCUGCCCAGCCCAAGGGCCCUGCAGGAAGGGCAGCCACCAGCAGAGCGUGGAAGGCAGAGCUAGGGUCCAGGGCAAGGUCCACAGCCAGGCAUGGAGGCCAUGCUGGGUGGGCCCUAGGCCCCAGGGUCAGGCAGAGGCCCUGCCCUUCAGAGAAGGAAACCUGCUCCCCCAGGACCCCACAGACGCCCACCAGGGGCUGUACAACCUCGCCCAGAAAGAAGUGCACACGUGUGUGCAUGUGUCUGCGCGUGUGUGCACAUGUUUGUGUAUGCCUGUGCAUGUUUGUGUGGAGAAGCUGACCAGGGAGGACUGGAGAGCAGAUCUGUCAUCCUGUCAUCCUCCUAUCCUCCAGCUCCAGCCUGCAGGGACAGAGGGCCGUGCCGGAGGAGGAGCAGGACGGAUGCGGUGAGAGGCAGAGCACUGAGGCUGCCUCGAUGAGCCCAGAGGACAAACCAGCUGUGGGCAGGGGUGGAAGGCUGAGUCCCAAGCCUCACAGCGUCCUGGGGACAAGGGGCAGACAGCAGAGGGCGCACAGGGCAGCAUCCCAAGGCCUGGCAUAGGAGCUUGGGAUGAUGUGAGCGCCCCAGGAGAGCCUGGAUCCCUGAUGGGUGGGGCGGGGGCUCAGCUGCUAGUGUCCCUGUCUGUCCUGACCUCUAAGUGGAUGUGAAGCCAGCCUGCAGCCCACCGGGGCCUCUGCGGAUAGAGACAAGGACACUGCCACAGGAGUUAGGACUACCUGAACAGCAGGAAGCCUGAGGGCGGCCUCAGUUCUGCAGCCCACGGGAUGGGGAGGCGCUGGCACUGCUCUGAGGAGAAACACAGUGCCUCAGGUUGGAUGCCCUCUAUGGGAACAAGCCCAGGGAGGCCCAGGGCUCAGGGGACUCUGCUUGCCCUGUGCCCCCACCUGGGCUGACCUCGCCAGAGCCACCCACUUCAGGGAGCAGCACUCAGCCACAGGCGGCAGGUGCACACGGGCACGUCGAGCUCCAUGUUGGUGCCCACUCACUUCAUUUUCCUGAUGGUGAACUCAGUGCUUCACGUCCUGUCUUAGGUGAGGCCUCCAGAAGGCUCCUGGGAGCCCCAUGGACAGCAUGCUGCUCCAUGCCAGCGGAGACCCCGAUGGGGACAGCGACUCUGCACUUCAGGCCUGGGCAGCCAUGGGAGCAGAGGUGGGGGGCACCGACCGCGAGCCUGUACCCGUGGGUCCUCAUCACCAGAGCCAACCGCAGCCCAGCAAGCAGGGUGGUGAGGGCUGCGGCACGGCUGUGUGGAAGAAGGGACAGGUGGGGUUAAGUUGGAGCCUUGGAGCCAGGUGUCCUCACAGGCCCUUCUAAGGGAGGCAGGAGGCUUAGGGUGGCGGACAACAGGGGAGCCAGUGGAAGGGAACAGUGGGAGGGGGCAGGGCAGGUCCUCCAGAGUGGCCAGAAGGAGCCCACCCUGCCGUGCCUCUACUCCCAGGACAAACUCACUCCCACCCCAGGCUCAGGGAGGCAUCAGAAAGUCACAAGCCCCCUGGGAAGAGGCCAGCAGGUACUUCUACAGCCCCAAAGCACGGGGAGGGCCCCCUCCUGCCCCCACAGGACAGGCAGAAGUGCUCCGCCCCACUCCCCAGGAAAGGGUGCACCAGGACCCACAGUGCAGUCUUGAGCCCAGGGUGCGUGUCCUGCCUGAUACCCUGAACUCAGCCCAGCCCCGGGGAGCAGAGGGCUGGAGCCAGCACAGGCUUGGACGGGUGACGCGCGGUCGUGUCCUCCUGCGGGGCAGUGCACACCUGUUGGCCCCCUGUUCGGAGGGGCCACUUUGCAGACCCUGGCAUCCUUUGGCCACAGGUAUCCGCCCCGUCUACAGAGGGAAGGGAGUGCUCCCUGCGGGGGGAAAACCAGGGAGACAGCAGCUGGCACUGGGACUGCAAGACAAUGGGCGGCUUCCUCGUAUUCUGUUGUUCUGGGCGCCUGCCUUGGAAAACAACUGUCCCCCGCCCCCCAGAUGACUUCCUCACCUCACUGCAGGGACAAAGAACACUCUGUUCUCAGACAGGACAGUCCCAGAGAGAGCAAGCAAGCAGGCGAGGUGUGCAGGAGCCAGGAGGACAUGCUGCCUUAACAAGGGACACAUGGACAUCACCCCACAUGGAGACGUUCUGGACUAGGGCUCCAGAAGGCAGGAAGUGAGUGGCUGACAUGCCUCUGCCCACACACGGGAGCCAUGCUGCAAGUCCAUGAGUUCUAGGAGAGGCUGCGGAGAGUGUGUGGGCUCUCGAAUGAGGCUCCUGCAAGAUGCUGGCUCCCACUUCCAAGGUCCCCAUCCCGCCUGCCUGGGUGCACAGUGGCCUCUGAAGUCUGGUCCCCACUGCUGCUGAUCUGAAGUGGGUCUAGAGCUCAAAGCACUCUCUGGAGACACUGCCGCUGACCACUGCUGAUCAGCCAGUGCAGCACUCAUUCCAGCCCUGGAAACACCCCCAGAGGAAGCUGCCCGGGCUCCUGAGACCCCUGAGCACCCAUGGCUGUGCCGAGACCCUCUUCUUCCCCAG